rnacentral:ncRNA from 1 species
GGUCAAGCGAUUAAGCGCACACGGUGGAUGCCUUGGCAGCCAGAGGCGAUGAAGGACGUUGUAGCCUGCGAAAAGGCUCGGUGAGGUGGCAAACAACCUGUGACCCGGGCAUGUCCGAAUGGGGAAACCCACCCAGCAUAAGCUGGGUAUCCCACACUGAAUCCAUAGGUGUUGGGAAGCGAACCGGGGGAACUGAAACAUCUAAGUACCCCGAGGAAAAGAAAUCAACCGAGAUUCCCCCAGUAGCGGCGAGCGAACGGGGAGUAGCCCUUAAGCAG